CCUGCCUUGAGCUGCAAUCAUGGUGGACGUGAUGGAGUUGCCCAAGGCGCGAAUCAACGCCAGCAUGCUAGCUCAGUUCAUCGACCAGCCAGUCUGCUUCGUAGGGAGGCUGGAGAAGAUUCAUCCCACUGGGAAAAUGUUUAUUCUUUCAGAUGGUAAAGGAAAAAAUGGAACUACUGAGUUGAUGGAGCCUCUUGAUGAAGGAAUCUCUGGAGUCAUGGAAGCAGUUGGAAGAGUAACGGCCAAGGCAACCAUUAUGUGUGCAUCUUAUGUCCAGCUUAGAGAAGAUAAUCAUCCUUUUGAUCUUGGACUUUACAAUGAGGCUGUGAAGAUUACCCAUGAGUUCCCUCAGGUUUUUCCUUUGGGAGUUGUGCAGUAUGGUUGAACUAUUUUGAUUAUUGCCUGUGAGCUACACUGAAGACUAUUAAAGGAGGCCCCUGAUAUUUGAAGGAGCAAUUCCUGUGAUUUCUAAUAUUUAAUUUGUUCUCUUAAUUUCAUUUACCUAACUUUAUUAGAUAUUCCAGUGUGCCAUUUUUGACAGAACUGGCUUAUUGACAGUUCUCACCUAAGUUCUCAUAAAGAAUAAUUUCUCUGGCCUAUCGGACAUGACUGAGCGACUGAACUGAACUGAACUGAACUGAUGGUCAGAUUAAAUGCACGAAAAAAAAAAUUUGGUUGAACUCAGUUUUCUGCUCUUAUUAAUACAAGCUU